UACAGAGGGGGCAAGCGUUGUUCGGAAUUACUGGGCGUAAAGGGCGCGUAGGCGGCCUACUAAGUCAGACGUGAAAUCCCCCGGCUUAACCUGGGAACUGCGUCUGAUACUGGAAGGCUUGAGGAUGGGAGAGGGAUGUAGAAUUCCAGGUGUAGCGGUGAAAUGCGUAGAUAUCUGGAGGAAUACCGGUGGCGAAGGCGGCAUCCUG
rnacentral:rRNA from 1 species